rnacentral:rRNA from 1 species
GACGAACGCUGGCGGCGUGCUUAACACAUGCAAGUCGAACGGAAAGGCCCUGCUUUUGUGGGGUGCUCGAGUGGCGAACGGGUGAGUAACACGUGAGUAACCUGCCCUUGACUUUGGGAUAACUUCAGGAAACUGGGGCUAAUACCGGAUAGGAGCUCCCGCUGCAUGGUGGGGGUUGGAAAGUUUCGGCGGUUGGGGAUGGACUCGCGGCUUAUCAGCUUGUUGGUGGGUAGUGGCUUACCAAGGCUUUGACGGGUAGCCGGCCUGAGAGGGUGACCGGCCACAUUGGGACUGAGAUACGGCCCAGACUCCUACGGGAGGCAGCAGUGGGGAAUAUUGCACAAUGGGCGGAAGCCUGAUGCAGCAACGCCGCGUGCGGGAUGACGGCCUUCGGGUUGUAAACCGCUUUCGCCUGUGACGAAGCGUGAGUGACGGUAAUGGGUAAAGAAGCACCGGCUAACUACGUG